GGGGGCGUAAAGGUUUCGACGGGGAUCUUGAAGCAUGAUAAGCGAGUCGGGAAGCGCAAAGCCCGUUAAAAGGCGCAACGUUUAAAAUUAAACGACAACGAUUAUACUGAACUGGCUGCUGCUUAAGUCAGCGCCCGCCGCUUCUGUGACUACCACGACACAGUUGUUUUGACUUGAUUCAUUAAGGCGUCGAUCAGUGGUGAACGUCGGCAGGCGACGGCUGUGACCUGUCCGAUGUAUUACAGCCUACCGAACCCCGGCGCGUGCUUGUUUGCGCGGGGGCAAGGGAAGGGGCUUAGUUUGGAGACUGUGCCGGAAUAACAAGCUACACUCGUAGAAAUUUGUGUGAAUGGGUUUUCGGACAGGGGUUCGACUCCCCUCGCCUCCACCA
rnacentral:tmRNA from 1 species